GUGAGUUCUGAACUUGAAAACAAAGAUAGCAUUUGGGUCUUUCACAUCAUAGAUUCUGGCCAAUUUCUCCUUCAGCUCAGCCUUUGAAACAUUGGGUCUACCUGGGUGAAGAACAUCAAUGAUGAAUUGCUUCCUGGAGAGGAGCCUGUUGGUCAUGAACUUCCUGGUUCGGAUGGUGACUGCCUUGUCCGCCAUGGCUGAAGCCGCUCUGAAGAGGAUGGAAGCCUUGGAGCUCGAAGAAGGCGACGGCGA
rnacentral:misc_RNA from 1 species